GGCGGCGGUAGAGGAGGAGGUCGCGGCUGCAGGCGCCGCUGGAGGAGCCGCCUCGGCUGCUGCUGCGAGCGCCGCUGGAGGAGCUGGGGCCCGGGCGGGAGUCCGAGCUGGAGUCGGGGCCGCAGCCGGAGUGCGAGCCGAGGCCGGGGCUGCCCGCGCCGCCGCCGCUGUCCCGGCGGGAGCCCUCGCCUGAUUUCAAGAGUGCAGGGAGCCUGGAGAGCCGAGCAGGAUGCGGAGAGAAGCAGCCGAAGACGAUCAGGGCGCUCGGGUGUCGGGGGGCCAGGUCCAGGGCCGGACACAGCCAGCCAUUCAGGAAGGCAGCGCUGGAGAGCGGGAGGCAGCCGGCGAGGAAGAUCACACACUUUGCUCUUUUUGUUGUGCGGGUGGCGCCGGGUCCUCUCUGCCUUCUUUCGGGAGGUGACGGAAGGGGGAGAAAAAUAUGAGAUAAUUCACGCCGGCGACGAAUUCACAGCGAAAUAGAAAAAAAAUAAAAAUCAGAAGAAAAUACUUGAGAAAAAAAGGAAAAAGAGAAAGCGAGAGAGACAUCCAAAGCAGAUUGCCAGAAUUUGCUGCUUCCCACCUUUCCUCAAGACUUCUAGAAGUAAUAGACAGUAAUAGUCUAAGACAAAUCAGCUCCUUCUUGUAAAAUAGAAUGAGGAAACUGAGAGUCCUAGGAAAGCUGUGGCAAAUAUCUUUACUGGCAUACAGAGGAGAGCAAUUAAUAAGCUACUUUGUUGGCUUUUGAAAUACUUUUAAUUGGAAAAAUUCUGCAAUUGAUGGCACGUAACAGAACAUGUAGAUUGUUCCGUGUAUCUGGUUUUGUGUUGAAGUCUUUGAUCCACUUGGACUUGAGUAUUGUGCAAGAUGAUAAAUAUGGAUCUACUUGUAUUCUUCUACAUCCAGUUUGACUAGCACCAUUGUUGAAGAUGCUGUCU